rnacentral:hammerhead_ribozyme from 31 species
CCCCCGUCUCCCGAUUAAAUCGGGACUGAUGAGUCCUUCGCUUAAAAGCUCAGGACGAAACGGGUU